AUUGAACGCUGGCGGCAGGCCUAACACAUGCAAGUCGAGCGGAUGAAGGGAGCUUGCUCCUGGAUUCAGCGGCGGACGGGUGAGUAAUGCCUAGGAAUCUGCCUGGUAGUGGGGGAUAACGUCCGGAAACGGGCGCUAAUACCGCAUACGUCCUGAGGGAGAAAGUGGGGGAUCUUCGGACCUCACGCUAUCAGAUGAGCCUAGGUCGGAUUAGCUAGUUGGUGGGGGAAAGGCCUACCAAGGCGACGAUCCGUAACUGGUCUGAGAGGAUGAUCAGUCACACUGGAACUGAGACACGGUCCAGACUCCUACGGGAGGCAGCAGUGGGGAAUAUUGGACAAUGGGCGAAAGCCUGAUCCAGCCAUGCCGCGUGUGUGAAGAAGGUCUUCGGAUUGUAAAGCACUUUAAGUUGGGAGGAAGGGCAGUAAGUUAAUACCUUGCUGUUUUGACGUUACCAACAGAAUAAGCACCGGCUAACUUCGUG
rnacentral:rRNA from 1 species